UCAACAGAUAAACUAAGCACAUUUGUUAGUCAUAAUUAAUUAUUUAUUUAUAAUACAUUUUGUGUUGUAAAAUCUUUCCCUUUUUGAAUAUUAGUAUUAUUUUAUUAACAAAUAGACGCGAGUAAUCUUUUCGAUGCAUUCGUACACGCUAUGUAACAACAAUAUAUUUAUUCCACGAACAUUUGACUCUUCUUAUAAGCGAAUAGCGUAUACAUACGUAGAGGGAAACGAUGACCCAUCGAGUUGACUCCAAUCAGUGAAAAAACUUAAGACACACGAGACACUUAUGGGAGUUGAAUCAUUAACGACUCACCGGGAGGAUACGUGUUGGCAAAACCAAAGUGUUGACUUGGAAAAUUUUCGAAGAUCGUAGCAAUAUAUAAAAUGGAUAUUGCCAGUCAUCUUGUUAUAAAAAGGAUUUUGAGAAAAAUAAAGGAGAAAUAAUUGAAACAAAUAUAUAAAAAGGAAGUAAAGAAGUAGUGGGGAUCUAGCAAACCUAUAGAAACAAAAUUCUCUCUUUUGCUUGAUAUCAGAGAUAACGUUACGAGAAAAUAAUUAAUCUGCAUAGCAAACAAACGACGCGUUUCGCAUAUAUUCUUUUCUCUCUCACUCUUUUAUAUUUUUUCUCAUAUUAUUUGUCAUAGUCAUCGGUAGAAGUAGCAGCAACAGCAGCAUCAGCAGCAGCAGCACCAACAGGUACCCAAGUAAAACGAUACGGAUUUGCAAAAGGAAAAUAUAAGAAGAAUUAAAGUGAACAAGUUAAAAGACGGAGGAGACUUCCAUAAUAUAUAGAACAGAGUCGUAUUUUGCUCAUCAACACUGAGUGAUUCCAAUUGACGAUCGUCUCGACCCUCGGGCUCUCGUCUUAUUGGUCAGCCUUUUAAUACGUUACGUUACCAUUGGAGAUCUGUUCUUUUCGAAAGAACAUACGAACGAACUAACUAACUAACUAACUAACGACGGUUACACACUCAUUCGAAAACUUUCCGAGUAGACAGUAUCGUCAGACAGAAUCGUCCAUCAAAUCUCUAAGUGGAUCGAUAUCUUCUAUCUAGUCAACUGAUUUAUCUUUUGAGUAUUUAUAUAGAAAGUAAAACCGCUAUUGGUGAAAAAUUAAAUCAACUAAAUCUGUUACUACCUGUGUGUCUGCUGUUGUUGUCACCUUAAAACCAAAUAAAUAAUAUCGACUGAAUGGCUAUCUACUGGCUCCUGCUGUUUGAAAGACUUUGAUUGUUCUUUUUUUUUCUUCUUUUUUUUUUUUUUUAUAACACGUACAAAAGAAAAGAAAUAAUAAGAUUGAAAAAAGGUGAUAUUUCAUUUUGAAACAAAAUUUCAAAAACGUAAAACCACCUUCUGUCACGUGAAGAAACAAAAACGUUUUCUCAUUGUUAAUCACAAUUCGUGGAAAGGAUAUAAAUCUGACGAGUGUCAGUGGGUGGUACCUAAGAGUACGGGGGAAAUUUUGAACACUCCCAUUUGGAAAGAGAGUUGUUAGUUUGUUUGUUUUUUUUUUUUCGUCAGCAUAAUGGAGCGAAGGAUUUUGAAAAUGUGGUGAUAACGUGAGGAGGCAGAGGCCUUUGACAAACAAGACACUAUCCAAUGUGUGAGCAAUAGUCGUUAGAAAAAAACGAAAAAAAAAAAAAAGCAAAAGAACUAUAUAA